UGGGGAAUAUUGCACAAUGGGCGCAAGCCUGAUGCAGCCAUGCCGCGUGUGUGAAGAAGGCCUUCGGGUUGUAAAGCACUUUCAGCGGGGAGGAAGGCGAUAAGGUUAAUAACCUUGUCGAUUGACGGUACCCGCAGAAGAAGCACCGGCUAACUCCGUGCCAGCAGCCGCGGUAAUACGGAGGGUGCAAGCGUUAAUCGGAAUUACUGGGCGUAAAGCGCACGCAGGCGGUCUGUCAAGUCGGAUGUGAAAUCCCCGGGCUUAACCUGGGAACUGCAUUCGAAACUGGCAGGCUAGAGUCUUGUAGAGGGGGGUAGAAUUCCAGGUGUAGCGGUGAAAUGCGUAGAGAUCUGGAGGAAUACCGGUGGCGAAGGCGGCCCCCUGGACAAGGACUGACGCUCAGGUGCGAAAGCGUGGGGAGCAAACAGG
rnacentral:rRNA from 1 species